CGCUUAUUUUGCCGUGGCGGAGUUCGACCACCGCGAGAGAUGAUGAUGUCGUUUAUCGACGCUCAUCGCGAGGAUCAGGGUAUCGAACCGAUCUGCCGUGAACUGGCGAUCGCCC
rfam:Novosphingobium sp. Rr 2-17 contig16, whole genome shotgun sequence.